rnacentral:rRNA from 1 species
AUACGGAGGGGGCUAGCGUUGUUCGGAAUUACUGGGCGUAAAGCGCGCGUAGGCGGCUUAUCAAGUUAGGCGUGAAAGGCCUGGGCUCAACCCGGGAACUGCGCUCAAAACUAGUAAGCUAGAGACCGGGAGAGGUGAGUGGAAUUCCCAGUGUAGAGGUGAAAUUCGUAGAUAUUGGGAAGAACACCAGUGGCGAAGGCGACUCACUGGAACGGUUCUGACGCUGAGGUACGAAAGCGUGGGGAGCAAACAGGAUUAGAAACCCGAGUAGUCC